UUGCAGCUUAUUAAGCCGACCAGUUCUGCUCAUGUGCGUCUCUGGUGUGCAAAGGCUGCAGACAGUGACUCUUUGGUUGUGUAUGUCCUCAGCUGGGAGGUGCUGAGUGCUUUAAGGGACCACUGAGACAAGA
ensembl:snoRNA SNORA70 Small nucleolar RNA SNORA70